AUGAGUCCGUCUGGCAAAAUGAAAACGAAAUCUGCAUAUCUGCAAGGAUAGGCACAAUCUCGUCCCAGGUAACUAAUUUCGUCUCCCCACACCAAAAGGAGGUGAGUGAAGAAACUUUCCAUGACCGCACAGAGACCCGGUUUUGUAGGUAAGAAACAGAAGCGGCGACAACAGUCUGAUAAAUUAGGACCCCACCCAUGAACAUAAAUUUGUCACCAAGACAAGUGACCAGCCUGAAGCAGGGUCUUUCUUCUCUCGCUCCCUUUUGGGUGGGGAUUUGAGAGACCCUGGGAACGAGGUUGGGAUAUGCAUAGCGCUUGAGAUACGGGCAUAGUGCAGGUACCGAAGCUACCAAUAAACCACUGUAAGUAGUUAUCUUGACAGGUAGCUGCAUAUUAUCUGCUCAGCAAGUUCACAAAAGCCCUCCCUGUAAAAACGAAACUCAUCCAUGCGUUUGUCGUUUGUUUUCCUGUCUAAAUCAAAUCUUUCGUCGUUCAAGUACAGAAACUCUGGAUUUCUUGACUUGUGUGCACCGUAUAAAAGAGAAAAUUCUUAUUCGUUAAUAUCCACGGUAUAAAAUUCGUUAAUAAACUCGUUUCGAUAAGGUUAGGCAAUCUGGCUUCAACUACACUGUACCCUGCUUGUAAAUUUUUAAAUUUAGAAAAAAAAAAGGCGGGAUAUUUGCCGCACGCCCACUAACGUUGUCGUCGUGUCCACCGUGACGCGAGACAUCAGAGACAUAACCAAACGGCGGCGUCGAGCAGAAGUCGCGGAUUCGUAUGCUCCCUAUUAGCAAUGAUGACGGCAACACCAAGAAAAGCGUCAUUUGAACAUAAGCAUUUGCGGAGUUGUGACUAUUUUGCGAUUAUCCCAUCAAGAUGCUGGUGAAGUACCCUACUACCUCACCACAAGAAGCGCCGCUCAAACAAAUAUAAAGAACUAAAAAAAAUUGCUAUUGGAUGCUUACGUUGUCGACAAAACCCCAAAUGUGGUAAUUUCACGUUGUUCCUAGCAGAAGACGACACGGAAUUAUUGAAAAGUGCGUGGCGCACGUGCAGUAUGCCUAUUUUUUUUUUUACCAUUCGAGCAAUCAAAUUCUCAACUUGUGACGUCGUCAUUCCUGUUGCCGUC